GGGAGUGAAAUAGAACCUGAAACCGUAUGUCUACAAGCAGUCGAAGCACCUUAAGAGUGCGACGGCGUGCCUAUUGAAGAAUGAACCGGCGAGUUACAUUAUGUUGCGAGGUUAAGUGGGAGACACGGAGCCGAAGCGAAAGCGAGUCUUAAUAGGGCGACUAGUAACAUGGUGUAGACCCGAAACCGCAGUGAUCUAUCCAUGGUCAGGUUGAAGCGCAGGUAAAAAUGCGUGGAGGACCGAACCCGUGAGUGUUGAAAAACUUUGGGAUGAACCGUGGAUAGGGGUGAAAUGCCAAUCGAACGCGGAGAUAGCUGGUACUCCCCGAAAUAGCUUUAGGGCUAGCCUCAGGGAAGAUUAUAGACGGUAGAGCACUGAUCUGGCAAGGGGGCGUAAAGCCUACCGACCCUAGUCAAACUUCGAAUGGCUAUAAUUAAGACCCUGGGAGUCAGACUGCGAGUGAUAAGACCCGUAGUCAAGAGGGAAACAGCCCAGACCGCCGACUAAGGUCCCCAAUGCUGUACUAAGUGGAAAAGGAUGUAAGACUUCAUAAACAACCAGGAUGUUGGCUUAGAAGCAGCCACCAUUAAAAGAGUGCGUAAUAGCUCACUGGUCGAGAGGCCUUGCGCCGAAGAUGUCCGGGGCUCAAGUACAGAACCGAAGUCGCGGCAGGAUUUAUAAUUCUGGGUAGGGGAGCGUUGUAUAUCCGACUGAAGGUGUACCGGAAGGAGCGCUGGAGGAUAUACAAGAGAGAAUGCCGGUAUGAGUAGCGAAAAGAACAGUGAGAAUCUGUUCCACCGAAAGCCUAAGGUUUCCUGAGCAACGCUCGUCGACUCAGGGUAAGUCGGGACCUAAGCCGAGGCAAAAAGCAUAGGCGAUGGACAACAGGUUAAUAUUCCUGUACCGCUUCAAAUCGUUUGAGCAAUGGAGUGACACAGAAGGUAGCUUGAGCACGCGAAUGGAUGUGCGUGUCGAAGGUGGUAGGUUGCAGUAUAGGCAAAUCCGUACUGUAUAAGACCGAGAACUGAUAGAUAGACGAUACUUCGGUAAAGUCAAAUUCAAGUGAGCCAUGCUGUCGAGAAAAGCUUCUAGUGAGAGAUGAGGCGCCCGUACCGAAACCGACACAGGUAGGCGGGGAGAGAAUCCUAAGGUGCGCGGGACAACCCUCGUUAAGGAACUCGGCAAAUUGUAUCCGUAACUUAGGGAUAAGGAUAGCCGGAGGAUGUGAAGGGAUUUACUUCUGGAGCGUCAGCCGGUGGCACAAGAGAGGCCCAAGCGACUGUUUAGCACAAACACAGGUGCCUGCAAAAGAGAAAUCUGACGUAUAGGUGCUGACACCUGCCCGGUGCUGGAAGGUUAAGAGGAGGGCUUAGAGGCAACUCGAAGGCUUGAAUUGAAGCCCCAGUAAACGGCGGCCGUAACUAUAACGGUCCUAAGGUAGCGAAAUUCCUUGUCGGGUAAGUUCCGACCCGCACGAAAGGUGUAACGACUUGGGCACUGUCUCAACGAGGGACCCGGUGAAAUUGAAGUACCUGUGAAGAUGCAGGUUACCCGCGACUGGACAGAAAGACCCCAUGGAGCUUUACUGCAACCUGACAUUGAUGUUCGGUAAAUAACGUACAGGAUAGGUGGGAGACGGAGAAGUAUUGGCGUUAGCUGAUAUGGAGUCAACCUUGGGAUACCACCCUUUAUUUAUUGGACCUCUAACUGAAGAAGUAACGACUCUCAGGACAGUAUCAGGCGGGCAGUUUGACUGGGGCGGUCGCCUCCCAAAAUGUAACGGAGGCGCCCAAAGGUUCCCUCAGCGCGAACGGAAACCGCGCAAAGAGUGUAAAGGCAGAAGGGAGCUUGACUGCGAGUCAGACACGACGAGCAGGUACGAAAGUAGGGCUUAGUGAUCCGGUGGUUCCGAGUGGAAGGGCCAUCGCUC
rnacentral:rRNA from 1 species